UGGGGAAUAUUGCACAAUGGGCGCAAGCCUGAUGCAGCCAUGCCGCGUGUGUGAAGAAGGCCUUCGGGUUGUAAAGCACUUUCAGCGAGGAGGAAGGUGGUGAGCUUAAUACGCUCAUCAAUUGACGUUACUCGCAGAAGAAGCACCGGCUAACUCCGUGCCAGCAGCCGCGGUAAUACGGAGGGUGCAAGCGUUAAUCGGAAUUACUGGGCGUAAAGCGCACGCAGGCGGUUUGUUAAGUCAGAUGUGAAAUCCCCGGGCUCAACCUGGGAACUGCAUUUGAAACUGGCAAGCUAGAGUCUCGUAGAGGGGGGUAGAAUUCCAGGUGUAGCGGUGAAAUGCGUAGAGAUCUGGAGGAAUACCGGUGGCGAAGGCGGCCCCCCUGGACGAAGACUGACGCUCAGGUGCGAAAGCGUGGGGCAGCAAACAGGAUUAGAUACCCUGGUAGUCCACGCUGUAAACGAUGUCGAUUUGGAGGUUGUGCCCUUGAGGCGUGGCUUCCGGAGCUAACGCGUUAAAUCGACCGCCUGGGGAGUACGGUCGCAAGAUUAAAACUCAAUGAAUUGACGGGGUCAUAGCUGUUUCCU
rnacentral:rRNA from 1 species